UACGGGGGGGGCAAGCGUUGUUCGGAAUUACUGGGCGUAAAGGGCGCGUAGGCGGCCAGUUUAGUCAGAGGUGAAAGCCCAGGGCUCAACCUUGGAAUUGCCUUUGAUACUGGCUGUCUUGAGUUCGGGAGAGGUGAGUGGAAUGCCGAGUGUAGAGGUGAAAUUCGUAGAUAUUCGGCGGAACACCAGUGGCGAAGGCGACUCACUGGCCCGAUACUGACGCUGAGGCGCGAAAGCGUGGGGAGCAAACAGG
rnacentral:rRNA from 1 species